rnacentral:rRNA from 1 species
CGUAUCACUUAAAGCGAUUCAGCGGGUUACGAUUGACGGAGCGAAGCGACGUCAAAGCGUAUACAAAGUCGAGUCGGUUUAAGGAUACGUUCGUUGGGUAGGGGAGCGUUCUGUAAGCCUGUGAAGGUGGCCUGUGAGGGUUGCUGGAGGUAUCAGAAGUGCGAAUGCUGACAUAAGUAACGAUAAAGCGGGUGAAAAGCCCGCUCGCCGGAAGACCAAGGGUUCCUGUCCAACGUUAAUCGGGGCAGGGUGAGUCGACCCCUAAGGCGAGGCCGAAAGGCGUAGUCGAUGGGAAACGGGUUAAUAUUCCCGUACUUGGUGUUACUGCGAAGGGGGGACGGAGAAGGCUAUGUUGGCCGGGCGACGGUUGUCCCGGUUUAAGCGUGUAGGCUGGUUUUCCAGGCAAAUCCGGAAAAUCAAGGCUGAGGCGUGACGACGAGGCACUACGGUGCUGAAGCAACAAAUGCCCUGCUUCCAGGAAAAGCCUCUAAGCAUCAGGUAACAUCAAAUCGUACCCCAAACCGACACAGGUGGUCAGGUAGAGAAUACCAAGGCGCUUGAGAGAACUCGGGUGAAGGAACUAGGCAAAAUGGUGCCGUAACUUCGGGAGAAGGCACGCUGACACGUAGGUGAAGUGAUUUACUCAUGGAGCUGAAGUCAGUCGAAGAUACCAGCUGGCUGCAACUGUUUAUUAAAAACACAGCACUGUGCAAACACGAAAGUGGACGUAUACGGUGUGACGCCUGCCCGGUGCCGGAAGGUUAAUUGAUGGGGUCAGCGCAAGCGAAGCUCCUGAUCGAAGCCCCGGUAAACGGCGGCCGUAACUAUAACGGUCCUAAGGUAGCGAAAUUCCUUGUCGGGUAAGUUCCGACCUGCACGAAUGGCGUAAUGAUGGCCAGGCUGUCUCCACCCGAGACUCAGUGAAAUUGAACUCGCUGUGAAGAUGCAGUGUACCCGCGGCAAGACGGAAAGACCCCGUGAACCUUUACUAUAGCUUGACACUGAACAUUGAGCCUUGAUGUGUAGGAUAGGUGGGAGGCUUUGAAGUGUGGACGCCAGUCUGCAUGGAGCCGACCUUGAAAUACCACCCUUUAAUGUUUGAUGUUCUAACGUGGACCCGUAAUCCGGGUUGCGGACAGUGUCUGGUGGGUAGUUUGACUGGGGCGGUCUCCUCCUAAAGAGUAACGGAGGAGCACGAAGGUUGGCUAAUCCUGGUCGGACAUCAGGAGGUUAGUGCAAUGGCAUAAGCCAGCUUGACUGCGAGCGUGACGGCGCGAGCAGGUGCGAAAGCAGGUCAUAGUGAUCCGGUGGUUCUGAAUGGAAGGGCCAUCGCUCAACGGAUAAAAGGUACUCCGGGGAUAACAGGCUGAUACCGCCCAAGAGUUCAUAUCGACGGCGGUGUUUGGCACCUCGAUGUCGGCUCAUCACAUCCUGGGGCUGAAGUAGGUCCCAAGGGUAUGGCUGUUCGCCAUUUAAAGUGGUACGCGAGCUGGGUUUAGAACGUCGUGAGACAGUUCGGUCCCUAUCUGCCGUGGGCGCUGGAGAACUGAGGGGGGCUGCUCCUAGUACGAGAGGACCGGAGUGGACGCAUCACUGGUGUUCGGGUUGUCAUGCCAAUGGCACUGCCCGGUAGCUAAAUGCGGAAGAGAUAAGUGCUGAAAGCAUCUAAGCACGAAACUUGCCCCGAGAUGAGUUCUCCCUGAGACUUAGAGUCUCCUGAAGGAACGUUGAAGACGACGACGUUGAUAGGCCGGGUGUGUAAGCGCAGCGAUGCGUUGAGCUAACCGGUACUAAUGAACCGUGAGGCUUAACCUUACA